GACGAACGCUGGCGGCGUGCUUAACACAUGCAAGUCGAACGAGACGAUUGAAAGCUUGCUUUUGAAAGUCGAGUGGCAAACGGGUGAGUAACGCGUAGACAACCUGCCUUUGAGAUGGGGACAACAGUUCGAAAGGACUGCUAAUACCGAAUGUUGUAUAUUUUCCACAUGGAAGAUAUAUUAAAGAUGGCCUCUAUUUAUAAGCUAUCGCUCAAAGAUGGGUCUGCGUCUGAUUAGCUGGUUGGUGGGGUAACGGCCUACCAAGGCGACGAUCAGUAGCCGGUCUGAGAGGGUGAACGGCCACAUUGGGACUGAGACACGGCCCAGACUCCUACGGGAGGCAGCAGUGGGGAAUCUUCCACAAUGGACGAAAGUCUGAUGGAGCAACGCCGCGUGAGUGAAGAAGGGUUUCGGCUCGUAAAGCUCUGUUGUCAGGGACGAAUGUGCAGUAUUUGAAUAAAGUACUGCAAUGACGGUACCUGACGAGGAAGCCACGGCUAACUACGUGCCAGCCGCCGCAGUAAGAC
rnacentral:rRNA from 1 species